UACGUAGGGUGCGAGCGUUGUCCGGAAUUAUUGGGCGUAAAGAGCUCGUAGGCGGUCUGUCGCGUCGGUCGUGAAAACUUGGGGCUUAACCCUGAGCUUGCGGUCGAUACGGGCAUGACUGGAGUUCGGCAGGGGAGACUGGAAUUCCUGGUGUAGCGGUGAAAUGCGCAGAUAUCAGGAGGAACACCAAUGGCGAAGGCAGCUCGCUGGGACGUGACUGACGCUGAGGCGCGAAAGCGUGGGGAGCAAACAGG
rnacentral:rRNA from 1 species